rnacentral:lncRNA from 10 species
GCGGGUCCGAGCGAGGACGGAGAGGGGACAGAGGGAAAGGGAGGCGGGUGUCUUCCUCAGGAAUUUGAGCUGGGGAUCUGCAUCCUGGCCAUUGCAGUCCUUUAGCAUCCUCGCCGCGCCCUGAGCGCGCUGGAGGCUCGCAGGCUGCGCCCUCCCAGGGCUGAUGCCGCGUCCUGCUCCGCCGUUCUGGGACGUCGGGGACAAAAGUGGAGGAGACGGGAGAGCCCGGGCAGAAAAAGCAGGACGCGCGUCCCAGCUGCCGUGAAGAUGCCAAACCCACCAAGACUGCGCUGCCCCACCUCUCCGAGGCUGUCCUGGGAGUGCGGGUGACCCGCGAGCUCCAGAAUCUUUCCUUAAGGUGGAGCCACAGCGCCACCUCGCGAUCCUCCAGCUUCCCUCCCUCAUGGCCACGGAAGGCUGGCCCUUUCUGGUCCAAGCCCCCAGGGUCCCACACUUACUGGUUUUCCAUGCACUUUCAUUAUUUCCCUUUCUCUCUCUUCAAUGUUCCCUUAUCCUGAGUAUUGAGGUCCCCAAACGCGCCUUUCUACCCCACGUUUGGACAUAGCCGGAAUGUCUACCUCCUUCUCCAUCCGGUGAAGCACUGCUCCCCCUAAAAUCACCAGCUCAAAAGUCACCUCUAUGAAACCUUUUUAGACUUUUCCAACGCAGUCAUUCGUGCCUUUCCCUGGUUUCCCUACUGCUCGCAUCACAUUGGACAGGAAAUGCUAUUUAAACGUUUUUCUCCUCUCCCUAAUCAGGGAGCUCCUCUGAGAGGAGCCAUGGCUGUCCUUGCUUAUUCAACA